CGUCUGGAAACGGGCGCUAAUACCGCAUAAUGACUCCGGUCCAAAGAUUUAUCGCUCAAGGAUUAGCCCGCGUCUGAUUAGAUAGUUGGUGAGGUAAUGGCUCACCAAGUCUACGAUCAGUAGCUGGUCUGAGAGGAUGAUCAGCCACACUGGGACUGAGACACGGCCCAGACUCCUACGGGAGGCAGCAGUGAGGAAUAUUGCGCAAUGGGGGAAACCCUGACGCAGCCAUGCCGCGUGAGUGAAGAAGGCCUUAGGGUUGUAAAGCUCUUUCAGAUGCGAAGAUAAUGACGGUAACAUCAGAAGAAG
rnacentral:rRNA from 1 species